rnacentral:tRNA from 1 species
GGGGUUGUGGCUCAGCGGUAGAGCACAUGCCUAAUGCGUGUGAGGCACUGGGCUCGAUCCUCAGCACCACA